AGGGUUCGAUUAUGGCUCAGGAUGAACGCUAGCGGUAUGCCUAACACAUGCAAGUCGUACGAGAGUUUUUAACUCUAGUGGCGGACGGGUGAGUAACACGUGAGAAUUUGCCUUUAGGAGGGGGAUAACAAUCGGAAACGAAUGCUAAUACCCCAUAUGCUUUCGAGUGAAAUGGAUUUAUAUUUAUCCGCCUAGAGAGAAGCUCGCGGCUGAUUAGCUUGUUGGUAAGGUAAGAGCUUACCAAGGCGACGAUCAGUAUCUGGUUUGAGAGGACGAUCAGACACACUGGAACUGAGACACGGUCCAGACUCCUACGGGAGGCAGCAGUGGGGAAUUUUCCGCAAUGGGCGAAAGCCUGACGGAGCAAUACCGCGUGAGGGAAGACUGCCUAUGGGUUGUAAACCUCUUUUUUCAGGGAGGAAUCAAUGACGUGUACCUGAAGAAUAAGCAUCGGCUAACUCCGUGCCAGCAGCCGCGGUAAGACGGAGGAUGCAAGUGUUAUCCGGAAUCACUGGGCGUAAAGCGUCUGUAGGUGGUUUAAUAAGUCAACUGUUAAAUCUUGAGGCUCAACUUCAAAAUCGCAGUCGAAACUAUUAGACUAGAGUAUAGUAGAGGUAAAGGGAAUUUCCAGUGGAGCGGUGAAAUGCGUAGAUAUUGGAAAGAACACCGAUGGCGAAAGCACUUUACUGGGCUAUUACUAACACUCAGAGACGAAAGCUAGGGUAGCAAAUGGGAUUAGAUACCCCAGUAGUCCUAGCCGUAAACAAUGGAUACUAGAUGUUGAACAGAUCGACCUGUGCAGUAUCAAAGCUAACGCGUUAAGUAUCCCGCCUGGGAAGUAUGCUCGCAAGAGUGAAACUCAAAGGAAUUGACGGAAUCACUAGUG
rnacentral:rRNA from 1 species